GAUCAUGGCUCAGGAUAAACGCUGGCGGCGCACAUAAGACAUGCAAGUCGAACGGACUUAACCGUUAGUUUACUAAUGGAGCGGUUAGUGGCGGACUGGUGAGUAACACGUAAGCAACCUGCCUAUCAGAGGGGAACAACAGUUAGAAAUGACUGCUAAUACCGCAUAUGCCUUAGCAACACAUGUUGCAAAAGGGAAAGGAGCAAUCCGCUGAUAGAUGGGCUUGCGU
rnacentral:rRNA from 1 species